ACGCGAAACCUCCCCUUUUCAGAAGGGGGCGGUCGUCGGGGCGUGGCGGCCCUGGCCUGAUGAGCAGCCGAAC
rnacentral:hammerhead_ribozyme from 1 species